rnacentral:tRNA from 1 species
GUCCCCGAGGUGGGGGCACCUCCUUGGUAUGGAGGAGACGGCGGGUUCGACUCCCGCCGGGGGCU